CAGUAGCCACGGGAAUACGAAGGGGGCUAGCGUUGCUCGGAAUGACUGGGCGUAAAGGGCGCGUAGGCGGCGAUCAAAGUCAGGCGUGAAAUUCCUGGGCUCAACCUGGGGGCUGCGUUUGAUACUUGAUUGCUAGAGUGGGGAAGAGGGUCGUGGAAUUCCCAGUGUAGAGGUGAAAUUCGUAGAUAUUGGGAAGAACACCAGUGGCGAAGGCGGCUCACUGGACCGACACUGACGCUGAGGCGCGAAAGCGUGGGGAGCAAACAGGAUUAGAUACCCCCGUAGUCCCUGUCUCUUAUAC
rnacentral:rRNA from 1 species